rnacentral:rRNA from 1 species
CACGUAGGAGGCGAGCGUUGUCCGGAAUCAUUGGGCGUAAAGAGCGCGCAGGCGGCUUGGCAAGUCGGGUGUGAAAUCCCGGGGCUCAACCCCGUGACUGCAUCCGAUACUGUCAGGCUAGAGGUAGGUAGGGGAGAUCGGAAUUCCUGGCGUAGCGGUGAAAUGCGCAGAUAUCAGGAGGAACACCGGUGGCGAAGGCGGAUCUCUGGGCCUUACCUGACGCUCAGGCGCGAAAGCUAGGGGAGCGAACAGG